rnacentral:rRNA from 1 species
UACGUAGGGUGCAAGCGUUAAUCGGAAUUACUGGGCGUAAAGCGUGCGCAGGCGGCUUUGCAAGACAGAUGUGAAAUCCCCGGGCUUAACCUGGGAAUGGCAUUUGGGACUGCAAAGCUCGAGUGCGGCAGAGGAGACUGGAAUUCCUGGUGUAGCAGUGAAAUGCGUAGAUAUCAGGAGGAACACCGAUGGCGAAGGCAGGUCUCUGGGCUGACACUGACGCUCAUGCACGAAAGCGUGGGGAGCAAACAGG